AUUGAACGCUGGCGGCAUGCCUUACACAUGCAAGUCGAACGGCAGCACGGGAGCAACCCUGGUGGCGAGUGGCGAACGGGUGAGUAAUAUAUCGGAACGUGCCUAGUAGUGGGGGAUAACGUAGCGAAAGCUACGCUAAUACCGCAUACGACCUAUGGAUGAAAGCGGGGGAUCGCAAGACCUUGCGCGAGUGGAGGAGCCGAGAUCGGCUGAGGUAGUUGGUGAGGUAAAGGCCCACCAGGCCGACGAUCUGUGGCUGGUCUGAGAGGACGACCAGCCACACGGGGACUGAGACACGGCCCAGACUCCUACGGAAGGCGGCAGGGUGAAAUUUUGGACAAUGGGCGCAAGCCUGAUCCAGCAAUGCCGCGUGCAGGAUAAAGGCCUUCGGGUUGUAAGCUGCUUUUGUACGGAGCGAAAAGGCUUCCACUAAUACUGGGGGCUCAUGACGGUACCGUAAGAAUAGGCACCGGCUAACUACGUGCCAGCCGCCGCAGUAACAC
rnacentral:rRNA from 1 species